rnacentral:rRNA from 1 species
AAUUCGACGCAACGCGCAGAACCUUACCUGGUCUUGACAUCCCGGGAAUUCCUUGAAAGAGGGAAGUGCCUCGCAAGAGGAGCCUGGAGACAGGUGCUGCAUGGCUGUCGUCAGCUCGUGUCGUGAGAUGUUGGGUUAAGUCCCGCAACGAGCGCAACCCUUGUCUUUAGUUGCCAUCAUUCAGUUGGGCACUCUAAAGAGACUGCCGGUGUCAAACCGGAGGAAGGUGGGGAUGACGUCAAGUCCUCAUGGCCUUUAUGACCAGGGCUACACACGUACUACAAUGGCCGGUACAAAGGGCAGCCACUUAGCGAUAAGGAGCCAAUCCCGUAAAGCCGGUCUCAGUCCGGAUUGGAGUCUGCAACUCGACUCCAUGAAGUUGGAAUCGCUAGUAAUCGCAGAUCAGCACGCUGCGGUGAAUACGUUCCCGGGCCUU